UACGUAGGGUGCAAGCGUUGUCCGGAAUUAUUGGGCGUAAAGAGCUCGUAGGCGGUGUGUCACGUCGGCCGUGAAAACCUGCAGCUUAACUGUGGGCGUGCGGUCGAUACGGGCAUCACUGGAGUUCGGCAGGGGAGACUGGAAUUCCUGGUGUAGCGGUGAAAUGCGCAGAUAUCAGGAGGAACACCGGUGGCGAAGGCGGGUCUCUGGGCCGAAACUGACGCUGAGGAGCGAAAGCGUGGGGAGCAAACAGG
rnacentral:rRNA from 1 species